rnacentral:tRNA from 1 species
AGCAAAGUGUGUAUAGUUUAAUCAAAACAUUAAGCUGUGGACUUAAAAACAAAGACUUUCAAACCUUUUACUCACC